rnacentral:rRNA from 1 species
UACGAAGGGGGCUAGCGUUGCUCGGAAUCACUGGGCGUAAAGAGCUCGUAGGCGGCUUGUUGCGUCGACUGUGAAAACCCGCGGCUUAACCGCGGGCUUGCAGUUGAUACGGGCAGGCUAGAGUUCGGUAGGGGAGACUGGAAUUCCGUGGUGAGCGGUGAAAUGCGCAGAUAUCGGGAGGAACACCAGCGGCGAAGGCGGCACUCUGGGCUGGAACUGACGCUGAGGAGCGAAAGCGUGGGUAGCAAAGAGG